CAGCCGCCGCGGGAACACGUAGGGUGCAAGCGUUAAUCGGAAUUACUGGGCGUAAAGCGUGCGCAGGCGGUUAUAUAAGACAGAUGUGAAAUCCCCGGGCUCAACCUGGGAACUGCAUUUGUGACUGUAUAGCUAGAGUACGGCAGAGGGGGAUGAAAUUCCGCGUGUAGCAGUGAAAUGCGUAGAUAUGCGGAGGAACACCGAUGGCGAAGGCAAUCCCCUGGGCCUGUACUGACGCUCAUGCACGAAAGCGUGGGGAGCAAACAGGAUUAGAUACCCCCGUAGUCCCUGUCUCUUAUCC
rnacentral:rRNA from 1 species